AAUCAACGCUGGCGGCGUGCCUAACACAUGCAAGUCGAACGCGAAAAGGGCUUCGGCCCUUAGUAGAGUGGCGAACGGGUGAGUAACACGUGGGUGACCUACCUUUGAAUGGGGGAUAACGUCCCGAAAGGGACGCUAAUACCGCAUAACAUCCUGCUUUUGAACAGGUGGAGAUCAAAGCCGGGGAUCGCAAGACCUGGCGUUUGAAGAGGGGCCCGCGUCUGAUUAGCUAGUUGGUGAGGAACGGCCCACCAAGGCAACGAUCAGUAUCCGGCCUGAGAGGGCGGACGGACACACUGGGACUGAGACACGGCCCAGACUCCUACGGGAGGCAGCAGUGGGGAAUAUUGGACAAUGGGCGAAAGCCUGAUCCAGCCAUGCCGCGUGAGUGAUGAAGGCCCUAGGGUUGUAAAGCUCUUUCGGCGGGGAAGAUAAUGACGGUACCCGCAGAAGAACG
rnacentral:rRNA from 1 species